rnacentral:rRNA from 1 species
GAGUUUGAUCGUGGCUCAGGACGAACGCUGGCGGCGUGCUUAACACAUGCAAGUCGAACGGAAAGGCCCCUGCUUGCAGGGGUACUCGAGUGGCGAACGGGUGAGUAACACGUGAGUAACCUGCCCUUGACUCUGGGAUAACUGCUAGAAAUGGUAGCUAAUACUGGAUAUGAGCUUUUACUGCAUGGUAAGGGCUGUAAAGAUUUUUUUGGUUCGAAGA